rnacentral:rRNA from 1 species
GCCUUCAGCCAUCCCACCCUGGUAAUGCUCAAUCUUGGAAGCUAAGCAGGGUCAGGCCUGGUUAGUACUUGGAUGGGAGACCUCCUGGGAAUACUGGGUGCUGUAGGCU